UCUUCUAAUUGAAUGAGGCUCUUCAUUCAAAGUUCAAAUCUGUUUCUUUAAACAUUUUUAAAUUACUUGCUAAACCAGAGGUUAUGUUUGGUACCUGUUUUAGGCACAGUAGAAGUUGCACAACUCUUAAGAACAGAUCUCUGGCCACUCUGGAUGGGAAAAGAUUCAGGCACAUGAUUGUUAGCUCUACUGGUUUGAUUAGCACAUUAACCACUUGGGUGGAUGUUUAUCUAAAACCAUCUGCUCUGUUAAUCUGUGUAACUAUCCGGAACAACUCCAGAGGACAGUCUUUUAAACAAAGCGAUUGGACAGAUGGUUAGCUUUGCAAUUCAGGUAGAGCACUAGAGGUUUGAGGAAGUAGAUAUAAUUCCAAUGUAAGCUUGAUUUACCUACUUAUCUUGCAGUUAUUGGAUUGGCAGAGCUGUUGCAACAGUUCUCAGCUGUGCAAGAAAUAUCAUGAGAGAAUACAUCCUGUUUUUAAAAACAUCCAGAGCGACAUAGACUGUUCUUGUGAAGGUACCACAUGAGAACGGAAAUGCCACCAGAAAGGGACAAGCAUUGUUUGGAUAUUUUGGUUGUCCUUGAAAACUUACAGGAAUGUGGGAACCAAAGGGAAGAUGGGAAAGAAUGAAGCAGAAAGAUGAUGCAAUUCAUUUAAAGAAGGCCUGGCAGUGCCAGCCACAGAAACUAGACCUGAUAUCCAUGCCACUGCCUUAACUUGGCUGUCACUGCCCUUUCGACUUCAUGCUACGCAAUAAGCAUUCAAGCUGCAUACAAAUACAAAGAAAAUCUUCAGUUGGUUUCAGAAAAGAAUGCCAAAAUUCAUAGGCUCAUAGCUGGACACCAAGUGCGCCAAAUAUCCAGGACAUCUUCAUGCAUGAAAUUUUAUGACAGCAGUGCAUUGUUUGAUUUUUAUUUUUUUCUUCCCUUUUUCUAAUAAGAACUUCUAUUUAGGUUCUCUAUGUGGAAGUAUUGCUGAAAAGAAAAAUGUUUUGUGAAAAGAAAAAGAAACUUCUGUUUCAGUGGUGUGUUUAUCUGUCUGAGACUGAUAUUUAUUUCUACUCAUUUGCCAAAGUUUCCAGAAAAUAUAUGCUUGGAUUGGACCCUAUAAAAUAUGUGAAUUUGAGCAUAGGAUCUCAGGCUCUUUCAUCGGUUCAUUGACUAUCAAUAGAACAUCCUAUAUCAUGUGGUAGCCUUCCUCACCCAGCCCAAUGGCAUGAUCUCAUUUCCCACUUCCACUAACUCAUAGUCACAUAUCAGGUCUACACCAGUCAGGUAAACUAUAUAAAAAAAAGUAACAGGAAACCACAGCUGACAUCAUGCGUCAUACAAAUUAUAUAUCUAUGAAAGACUUUGUUGGAUACUCUGAUUUGGGUGUAUUCCUUGAUGCAAGGAACAGAUGCAAAGCAUUAUUCCAGUGGCAAUAAACAAAAGCAGGUGUAACUUUGAGUAUGUCCCUGCACCUGCCUGUCCAAUAAUUCUGUGUUCCUGAGCAGUCUUUUUACUUACACAACAUGUGUGAGAGUAUUUCUGUUGCAGUCUGCCAGUUCUUAUUCCUCCUUAUACAUAAGGAGAUGUUGUUUGUGUGAAUCCACUUACUUGAGGUGUUUAGCUUCAGAUCCAACCAGUAAUGUAAACCAUUUUCCUGCAGGAUCUUUGGCUCUGAAGCUAUAGGCAUAGCUCUAACUAUGUGUAUACCCCACUGCUCUGUUUUUGCCUGGUCAUUUUCCAUCUCUGACAUGUGAAGCUUUCUGAAAGUCUGAUCUCAGACUUUGCUGCCAUACUACUGUUUUCCCUUCAUGAUAAAUCUGAAGCACAAUUUCUUGUGGAAGCCCCAAAAAAAAGGUGUGCAUGUUUGAAGGUGAACUCAAGGGCAGGACUUUCAGCAUAGCUGGGAAACAAGAAAAUACAAUUACUUAAUGCAGUUCCAGCCACACCAUUCCUAAUGUCCAAAGGGGCAAGAAGAAAUUUAUCAUCCUGUUAUUUGUGUUAGCCAACUGUAAUCUUGGGUUAUGUAUAUAGCAAAGGUAUUUUCUUACAUCAUACAUAGAGUCUGAGGCUUGAUGUUUGAGUUCUUUUUGUGGAAGAUCACCAACAGAUUGAUUCAAAUGUGAUAAAGAUUCCUAGCUGUUGAAAAUCACUGAGCGUGUGGGUAGUGAUAAAAUACACAGGACUUAAGUAGCACAGACAAGAAUAUGCCAUUUCUAACAUGCAACUACAAGAUACAACUGUGAUCAAUCUCUAUACAAAUCUGGAACAGUGCAGAAUUUCUGCAGAUUUUCAACUCCCUGUUUCUCAGAGAAGUGCACUUAAUAAAGAUUGGAUUUGUUCUAGCUGAAGUAUACAGUACUUUGAGGAAAGACACUCUCAGAUCCCUGUCACUUGUACUAUCAGAAUGAUUAGGCCUGCACUUUGGGUUCUCUAAGGCACUUUCUAAUUUUGUGUAUCUUAAGGCACGUCUACAUUAAAUAAUGGGAAACAGUACAGCGAUUCCUAAUUGGAUGUGUCCAGAUGGCUCUAUGUGGAGGACAGACACUCAAGAUACUUUUUCAGGUCCAGAAAUCUAACAAGAAGGAUCUCAGCAAGCUCAGCUAAGCAAACUGAUGGUAGGAAGGUGGAGCUGCUGGAUUCUGAUGUUGGAAGUGAGCUGUAGGAAAGUGAGAUCCGUGAGAAUAUGGUGGAAGAGGUAAUUGAGGUAACUAAGGACUGGGGUCUGACACAAUUUAAAGAGAGAGAGUUCUUGCAUCCAGAAUUUCAGGAGCUGUAAACACCUACUGUGGCCGAGUGCCUUCAAACAGCCACAAGCAACAACAGACAGGCUUCUCUCACAACUCAGGGCCAUUUGCCUUGUAUAUGACACCCAAAGUGCUGUAAAAAAACCAGCAGUCUCACUGCAGACAUCUGAAACAAGAUUUAAUGUUAUGUGCUCAAUUCAUCAUUCCCUCAGCAUUUUUGUCCCCUUAUCUGCAGCCUAUCUGCAUUCAGCUGGCCAUCUGCUAGGUACAUGUUGUUUACCUGCAAGAAGUCCAGAGCCUUUAAUUGCAUGCCAGCUUCUGGGCAGUUCCUGCCAAGCUGGAGCUGCCCUCUGGCUCUGCUGUGAUAUCCUGUCUGGACAGUUGCCAGAGCUCUGGUCUUCACAUCCUCUCAAUUCAUCUGAAUUUACUAUAUUAAUUUGAGGGUGAGCUGAGGACAGAUGAUUUUGUGCCUGUGUCAAAAGUUCUGUGUGCUUCCUAUGCACUACAUGACCCUAGUAGUUUCAUCCUUCACACAGGAAUGGUCUUUUUAUGACAGCAAAAAGACAGCUUGAUAAAGCUGUCCUAAUAUAACUAGCAGUAACUGAAGUACUUCAUGCAGGCUUACUUGAAGUAAGUUUAAAACAGUGUGGAGAAACUGAUGUAGACACUGUCAUUACAACUUUGACAGAUGAGCUUUGGUAAAACUCACUACAGUAGUUCAAGGUUAUCAUUCCAGUGACUGACUAUGUUUCUGACUGCUUUGUUCACUAAGAAGAAAACCAUGAUGCCUGACAACAUACAAUUGUCCUCAGAAACUCUGAGGAGAAAAGAUUUUUUUACUCUCCUCCAUGAAAGGACAGCUAUUCUGAUGUGCAUUCAUUCCAGUUUAGCUUUGGGUGCUUUGAAUCAUUUAACUUAAUGAAAACCAACGAGUCACUUUGACUCUAUCAGAAUAAGUACUGCUCAUGAACCUUAUCAAUUUAGGGAGAGCUACCUUUUUUCUUUAUGGGAAUUCCCUGACAGAAAUAAGUUUGUUUCAUGAAGUGCAUGAGCAUCUGAUAUACUACUAUUAGGAAGUCUCUGGAGCAUAAUCUAGCAUGUCAAUAUCACCUUGAUGCAUCAGUUAAAAAAUUCCCUACUUGGACAGUACUCCCUUUGGAUGCUUACCUGAGGAAACUAUCAACAUUUUUUGUUUGAUAAUUAUAUCAAGGAAAAUACUUAGACAAAUCUUUUUCUCUGUGCCAUCAUAUUUAUAGCUAUCAAUAUUAUGAAAUAGGUUUAUUUACAUAACCUUUUACAUUGGUAUAAAAA